rnacentral:rRNA from 1 species
UACGUAGGGGGCAAGCGUUGUCCGGAUUUAUUGGGCGUAAAGAGCGUGUAGGCGGCCAGGUAGGUCUGCUGUGAAAACUCGAGGCUCAACCUCGAGACGUCGGUGGAAACCGUAUGGCUAGAGUCCGGAAGAGGAGAGUGGAAUUCCUGGUGUAGCGGUGAAAUGCGCAGAUAUCAGGAAGAACACCCGUGGCGAAGGCGGCUCUCUGGGACGGUACUGACGCUGAGACGCGAAAGCGUGGGGAGCGAACAGG